rnacentral:rRNA from 1 species
GAUGAACGCUAGCUACAGGCUUAACACAUGCAAGUCGAGGGGUAACGAGAGGAAAGCUUGCUUUCCUUGUCGACGACCGGCGCACGGGUGAGUAACGCGUAUCCAACCUGCCCCCAACUAGGGAAUAACCUUGCGAAAGUAAGACUAAUACCCUAUAAUUUCCUCAGAUGUCAUCUGACGAGGAAUAAAGAUUUAUCGGUUGUGGAUGGGGAUGCGUCUGAUUAGCUUGUUGGCGGGGUAACGGCCCACCAAGGCAACGAUCAGCAGGGGUUAUGAGAGGACGGUCCCCCACAUUGGAACUGGGACACGGGCCAAACUCCUACGGGAGGCAGCAGUGAGGAAUAUUGGUCAAUGGGCGGAAGCCUGAACCAGCCAAGUAGCGUGCAGGAUGACGGCCCUAUGGGUUGUAACUGCUUUUAUACAGGAAUAAAGUUAGCCACGUGUGGUUAUUUGUAGGUACUGUAUGAAUAAGGACCGGCUAAUUCCGUGCCAGCAGCCGCCGUAA